UUCAAGUGCAUCUGUGGGAAAAGGCAUACCUCACUCUUCAUGAACAAGAUAAACCAGUGAAUGUAAGAAUACGGCCAGAGCCAUUGAAUCCAAGGGACCCAAGUGCAAUAGCAAUUGAUCUAGACUAUGGAACUGGAUGGCCCCAUGUUGGUUAUACAGUAUAUUGCUUCUGAACUAUGCACUGUAUCCACACCCAUUAAUUGCUGCAAGGGAUGUCGUGGAUGUCUAAUAUGUUCAGCAUAUCAAGUAUAGGAUUGACUUUUUUAAAAUAGGAUUUUAUCCAAAACAUUUUGCAGAGACAUGGUUAGUGCAUGGGAGACUUAAGUGGUAGGACAAGCAUGAGUGUAUGUUGACAGAUGUUUUUAUAUAAAUAAUAGCAACUAUGUUUAGCAAGUUAUUGAAGACAGUGCAUUUAUUUCAAUUGGCUAACUUUUUAGAUUUUUUCCAGCAUUUUUUAAACAAACCAUGGGUUAUAAAUGAUAACUUUCUGUAUCUAAUUAAAACAAUCUGUCAUGUACACUCAUGCAAAAUAAGUACAUAACUGUAAAAAUGUGCUUUAGUAAGUAAAUAAGUAAUUUAUCCAUGCACUUGACCUUCUUUGUUUGUAAUUUUUUCAGAUUAAAAUUAAUGCAACAAUAAAACAAGAAGAUGUCUAUUUAUAUAAUUGCACAGGUCAAUUCCUGGAGUAACCAUCCCCCCGGGACACCCCUGGGAAUUUGCCUAAUAGACAGUUCACAGGGGUCGGGAAUUUACCUGUCAUAUACAUGUACAGGGGCCGGG